GCUGCUGGAGUCGUGAGCCGUGUCUUUUGGAGAUGGCAACACAAGUACUGAAAACCCAAGCGGAUGGAAUGCCCGUCUCCAGGUCAACGUCGGCGGAAUGGUGUAUCUAUGCCAAAUGAAGCAGCGCAGGAACUACAA
rfam:Aedes aegypti strain Liverpool supercont1.537 genomic scaffold, whole genome shotgun sequence.